rnacentral:rRNA from 1 species
GAACGGGUGAGUAACACGUGAGCAACCUGCCCCUGACUCCGGGAUAAGCGGUGGAAACGCCGUCUAAUACCGGAUACGACCCGCCACCUCAUGGUGGAGGGUGGAAAGUUUUUCGGUCAGGGAUGGGCUCGCGGCCUAUCAGCUUGUUGGUGGGGUAACGGCCUACCAAGGCGAUUACGGGUAGCCGGCCUGAGAGGGCGACCGGCCACACUGGGACUGAGACACGGCCCAGACUCCUGCGGGAGGCAGCAGUGGGGAAUAUUGCGCAAUGGGCGAAAGCCUGACGCAGCGACGCCGCGUGGGGGAUGACGGCCUUCGGGUUGUAAACCUCUUUUACCACCAACGCAGGCCCGGAGUUCUCUUCGGGUUGACGGUAGGUGGGGAAUAAGGACCGGCUAACUACGUGCCAGCAGCCGCGGUAAUACGUAGGGUCCGAGCGUUGUCCGGAAUUAUUGGGCGUAAAGAGCUCGUAGGCGGCGUGUCGCGUCUGCUGUGAAAGACCGGGGCUUAACUCCGGUUCUGCAGUGGAUACGGGCAUGCUAGAGGUAGGUAGGGGAGACUGGAAUUCCUGGUGUAGCGGUGAAAUGCGCAGAUAUCAGGAGGAACACCGGUGGCGAAGGCGGGUCUCUGGGCCUUACCUGACGCUGAGGAGCGAAAGCAUGGGGAGCGAACAGGAUUAGAUACCCUGGUAGUCCAUGCCGUAAACGUUGGGCGCUAGGUGUGGGGACUUUCC